UUGAUUAUUCAUAGUUAUAAUAACUAAUGACUAUUACAGGUAAUUGACAUUAAUAUUGAUAUAACAGCUGUUGUUAUUAUUUCAUUAUUAUUAUUAUUAUUAUUAUUAUUAUUAUUGUAAUUAUUAUUAUUAUUGUCAUUAUUAUUACUGAUAAUGCUUGAAUAUUAGAUAUAUUUGUAAAUUUCUAUAUUUGAUAUUUUAGAAUGUAAAUGAGUGGGUAUUGUUUGAUGUAGGAUAUUUAUGCAGAUUUUUUUCUUCUCCCCCCCCCACCCCCCCUCCAAGAAAAAAGUUCCUGUGUUUAAGUCUGGCAUGUCUUGGCGAGAUUUGGUGCUUGGGCAAGAUGUAUGUCAGCAUGGAGGAAGGAGGGAAGUACUCUGUAUAUAUCAAGGGCGUAGUGGACGCGCAUUUGGAGAUCUUGAGGAAAUACACUGAAUUCUGAGGAACACACCACUUCAUUGGUCCUUGGUUCCCCAAAGGCAUCGACUGCAUCACUCUUGAAUUAUCAACGGUUGUGUUUUUCUGACGAAUAUCUUAAAUGAUAGAGUAAAUAUUUUUCCUGUAAUCGAUUUACAUUGUACAAUGUGUAUCCAAACGUACAUAAUAAGUAAUCAUGCGAAUCACCUCCUUUGUACUUAUUACUUCUCCCUUUUCACUUGAGUUUCUAAUUAUGGAAAAAAAAGUAAAAAAAAAAAAGCGACUCCUGUUUGCCACAACAGUGCCCUUCCCCGGAUUCUUCCCUCUCCUGAUACUUCCCCCCUGAUCCCUUAUCCCACUCACCAAUGUUUCCCCUUCUACUUCUCCAACUCCCUUUUCACCCUCAUCAUUCACUGUUUCAUAAUUACUCCUCUACACUGAAACAUUCGCACUUUCUGUUCUCAUACACCUAUAUCUUCCACCUGAUCGAAUUGCCUUUAACACCCCCUUCAUCUUAUCCCUGCCUUGCCCCAGUUACCCACUCGCUUUAUCCUCACCCUUAACACUUUUCAACACCAUACAUCCUAAAGUGCUCUACGGCUUUUGACUUCUGUAGCACAUUUCAGCCUUAAUUCCUUAAACUCUACAUUUACCCUUUUCGCAACUAUGUUUUUCUAUAGGUCUAUGUGCCCUUUGAUGUCGAACGUUGAUUUACUUUUAACCAUUGAUGCAUUAGAAAAAUAUAGUAAUCAUUUCCUGCCUAUAA